GACGAACGCUGGCGGCGUGCUUAACACAUGCAAGUCGAACGGAAAGGCCCUGCUUGCAGGGUACUCGAGUGGCGAACGGGUGAGUAACACGUGGGUGAUCUGCCCUGCACUUCGGGAUAAGCCUGGGAAACUGGGUCUAAUACCGGAUAGGGGCAAUUUUUAGUGUGAUGGUUGGAAAGUUUUUUCGGUGUAGGAUGAGCUCGCGGCCUAUCAGCUUGUUGGUGGGGUAAUGGCCUACCAAGGCGGCGACGGGUAGCCGGCCUGAGAGGGUGGACGGCCACACUGGGACUGAGGUACGGCCCAGACUCCUACGGGAGGCAGCAGUGGGGAAUAUUGCACAAUGGGCGCAAGCCUGAUGCAGCGACGCCGCGUGGGGGAUGACGGCCUUCUGGUUGUAAACUCCUUUCGCUAGGGACGAAGCUUUUUGUGACGGUACCUAGAUAAGAAGCACCGGCUAACUACGUG
rnacentral:rRNA from 1 species